UGUAGAGGGAAUAAUUUACCUUACAUUGGCCCCUGGCAGGCACUGGCCUGGAGGGGUGCCACAGAAAUACUGCACAGGACUCCGGGGCCCUGGUCCAGUCUGCUGGGUCUCAGGGUUAAUUUUGGUUACAGACACCG